rnacentral:rRNA from 1 species
GAUGAACGCUGGCGGCGUGCCUAAUACAUGCAAGUCGAGCGAACGGACGAGAAGCUUGCUUCUCUGAUGUUAGCGGCGGACGGGUGAGUAACACGUGGAUAACCUACCUAUAAGACUGGGAUAACUUCGGGAAACCGGAGCUAAUACCGGAUAAUAUUUUGAACCGCAUGGUUCAAAAGUGAUAGACGGUCUUGCUGUCACUUAUAGAUGGAUCCGCGCUGCAUUAGCUAGUUGGUAAGGUAACGGCUUACCAAGGCAACGAUGCAUAGCCGACCUGAGAGGGUGAUCGGCCACACUGGAACUGAGACACGGUCCAGACGCCUACGGGAGGCAGCAGUAGGGAAUCUUCCGCAAUGGGCGAAAGCCUGACGGAGCAACGCCGCGUGAGUGAUGAAGGUCUUCGGAUAGUAAAACUCUGUUAUUAGGGAAGAACAUAUGUGUAAGUAACUGUGCACAUCUUGACGGUACCUAAUCAGAAAGCCACGGCUAACUACGUG